rnacentral:rRNA from 1 species
CCCUUAGAUGUCCUGGGCUGCACGCGCGCUACACUGAUGUGUCCAGUAAGCACCUAACCUCUUCCGAAAGGAACGGGUAACCUUUGCAAAGCACAUCGUGAUGGGGAUAGAUUAUUGCAAUUAUUAGUCUUGAACGAGGAAUUCCUAGUAAGCACAAGUCAUCAGCUUGUGUUGAUUACGUCCCUGCCCUUUGUACACACCGCCCGUCGCUCCUACCGAUUGAAUGUUCCGGUGAGCUCUUCGGACUGCGCGGUCUACAGUUUCUGCGUUCCGUGCGGAAAGUUGCGCAAACCUUAACAUUUAGAGGAAGGAGAAGUCGUAACA